UGGGGAAUAUUGCACAAUGGGCGAAAGCCUGAUGCAGCAACGCCGCGUGAGUGAUGAAGGCCUUCGGGUUGUAAAGCUCUGUCUUUUGGGACGAUAAUGACGGUACCAAAGGAGGAAGCCACGGCUAACUACGUGCCAGCAGCCGCGGUAAUACGUAGGUGGCAAGCGUUGUCCGGAUUUACUGGGCGUAAAGGAUGCGUAGGCGGAUUUUUAAGUGAGAUGUGAAAUACCCGGGCUUAACUUGGGUGCCGCAUUUCAAACUGGGAAUCUAGAGUGCGGGAGAGGAGAAUGGAAUUCCUAGUGUAGCGGUGAAAUGCGUAGAGAUUAGGAAGAACACCAGUGGCGAAGGCGAUUCUCUGGACCGUAACUGACGCUGAGGCAUGAAAGCGUGGGUAGCAAACAGGAUUAGAUACCCUGGUAGUCCACGCCGUAAACGAUGAGUACUAGGUGUAGGAGGUAUCGACCCCUUCUGUGCCGCAGUUAACACAAUAAGUACUCCGCCUGGGAAGUACGAUCGCAAGAUUAAAACUUAAAUGAAUUGACGGGGUCAUAGCUGUUUCCU
rnacentral:rRNA from 1 species